CUGACCCUCCCUGUAGUGCACAGUUCCUUACCAGCCCUCCCUCCUUCACUGACACCUCAUGGCAGUUUUGCAGGGUUAGGUUGCUUUCAUUUUUCAGUAUCCCUCUUUCCUUUUAAAAGCAGGGAGUUCUGGGAGCCUAUGAGAGCUCAGAAUGUCAUUACCUAUGGAAAACAGCCCAUCCUCUGUACCCAGGGUACCUGGCAGGAGGCACUCCUGGGUUGCUGGUUGCUGCUGGUGUUUGCACUCCAGGGAUACUGUUGGAAGGAAAGUGUGUGGGUAAAAAUACUGUUAUGUGGCUUAGAACUUAGACACUAUUGGUGGGUCUCCCGAGAGGUUAUGUCUGUGUGAGCAGCUGGGAAACAAAUGCAUCAUCCCCACACACACAUGCACACUUACCAGCUCCUCCAGGUGCUCGGUGACAUCAGAUUCCUGCACUCUGCAGCAGGACAGGGAUGCAGGCGGCAGCAGGGGUGCGUGGCUGCCCUGAAUCCCAGCGUUUCCCUUAGCACUCUUAGGAUUGGAACUUCAUUUGUUGUUUUCAACUCAAUAAGAGACAGACGCGAGCUGAGCUGAUGCCUCAGACCAGCAGCCUACUUUGUGCUCUUUACCCAAGCCCACGUGCUGCACAGGCAGCUGCCAAGCAGUGCAGCUGCCAGCUCGGGUGUGAACACUUGCACCUUGUUCCACGUGGAUGCUGCGUUGUAUCUUGUGUAACAAACACACCUACAGAGGAAUUCUCUUGGAGUAUUCUUCCUGUAAUGAUGGGCUUUGUCCUGUGAUGACUGCCCUUAGAUUAAAGAAGUACAGAUAAUAAGACUAUAAGAAUAUUAUGGGUAUUUGCUUGGCUGGUACUGAAGUAUUCUUUUAGUUCAGUAGCGCCUCCUCUCACAGUUCUUGGAAGUAUAUGUACAAUUUUGCAGAAGCAUUAUGAUGUAAUUUAAUUCAAGUGGUUUAAGCACUGAAAUCUAAUUAAAUUAUUUACAUGAAA